GCCCCGUUAGCUCAACGGUAGAGCAUCCGGCUUUUAACCGGGUGGUUCCGGGUUCGAGCCCCGGGCGGGGCA
rnacentral:tRNA from 2 species